rnacentral:rRNA from 1 species
AGCAGUCGCCACGGUAAUACGUAGGGCGCGAGCGUUGUCCGGAAUUAUUGGGCGUAAAGAGCUCGUAGGCGGCUGGUCGCGUCUGUCGUGAAAUCCUCUGGCUUAACUGGGGGCUUGCGGUGGGUACGGGCCGGCUUGAGUGCGGUAGGGGAGACUGGAACUCCUGGUGUAGCGGUGGAAUGCGCAGAUAUCAGGAAGAACACCGGUGGCGAAGGCGGGUCUCUGGGCCGUUACUGACGCUGAGGAGCGAAAGCGUGGGGAGCGAACAGGAUUAGAUACCCCAGUAGUCCCUGUCUCUUAUAC